GCCAGCUCAGUGUCCCAAGGGCAGCCAGGUCCCCUGGCAGCUGUGAGAGUACAGACCUGCCUGUGCGUGCCCUGUCAGUACCUUCCACAGCCAGGUCUUGAGGUGUGAUGCUGAGGGCAGUGCGUGUGAUGGCAACUUCUUGUUGGUGUUUGCUUGUAGCAGAGGCCAGAGAGGGUUCUUCUCCAGCUCCUCAAACAGAUUCCAUGCUGAUUCCAAGCUGGUAUUUCAAGCGGAAGGAUUCCCAGAGGAUACCUGUGGUUCCAAAGGGGCUUCUAACAGCAUUGGUGAAAGCUGCGUAUGAGAGAGAUCAUGAGAUUGUGCAGAAAGAGAUCUUGCCUAUGGAAGAAAAAAGCAGCAUGCCAGGCUCAGAUGAAGAAACAGAAGCAUUAACGGAUACCAGCACACCUGCUCAGCAUGAGAGCCGUUCAGGAAGGUCAGCUCCUGGGCAAAAAGCUGAGAGUGCUGGACAGUGGCAACUCAGCAUGAAGUACAUCCUAACAUCUAUGGCGGUCUCGGCUGUGCUGCUGCUUGCAGCAUUGGUUGGGUACACAGUCACAUAUCAGCUGCUGAAGGGAGACGUGAGGAAUCAGGGAGACGAAAGAGCAUCAACAGAAUGCAACACUUUCUCUUUUGGGGACAUUAAUGAUUAGAGUAAAAUGAAAGGCAAAGCAGAGUGAGGAGAAUGCUGAGGAGGGAUCAAGAGAGUCCAAGCCAACAAGUUCAACAACAGUUGCCAUGUGUCACCAGAGCUCUCUGUGGCAGAGCUGACCCAGCUGUACAAGACCAUAGGUGCAGACCUCUCACUUCUGCCUGCCAGUUGUUUGAGGGUGCCUUUUCACAAGUUCUACAUGACUUAGGUUGUUUUGAUAUACAUUUA
rnacentral:lncRNA from 12 species